AUGCAGGGGACAAGGGUUCGUGCCCCGGUCCCGGAGGAUCCCACAUGCCACGGAGCGACUGGGCCCGUGAGCCAUGGCCGCUGAGCCUGCGCGUCCAGAGCCUGUGCUCCACAACGGGAGAGGCCACAGCAGCAAGGCCCGCGUACCGCUAUAAAAAAAAAAAAAAAAAGAGG